rnacentral:rRNA from 1 species
AAAUUGAAGAGUUUGAUCAUGGCUCAGAUUGAACGCUGGCGGCAGGCCUAACACAUGCAAGUCGAACGGUAACAGGAAGCAGCUUGCUGCUUCGCUGACGAGUGGCGGACGGGUGAGUAAUGUCUGGGAAACUGCCUGAUGGAGGGGGAUAACUACUGGAAACGGUGGCUAAUACCGCAUAACGUCGCAAGACCAAAGAGGGGGACCUUCGGGCCUCUUGCCAUCAGAUGUGCCCAGAUGGGAUUAGCUGGUUGGUGAGGUAACGGCUCACCAAGGCGACGAUCCCUAGCUGGUCUGAGAGGAUGACCAGCCACACUGGAACUGAGACACGGUCCAGACUCCUACGGGAGGCAGCAGUGGGGAAUAUUGCACAAUGGGCGCAAGCCUGAUGCAGCCAUGCCGCGUGUAUGAAGAAGGCCUUC